GAGUGGAGAAUUAUGAUAGAAAAACUAUCAGAGAUUUGGUUUAUAAUCACUUGAGAUUGUAACAAGAAUGAUAAUAUAAUCUAAGGUUUAAGACCACUAGGGACUGUGGCCUUAGUGGCAUUAAAGUUUGAGGUUUAAGAUUAUUGGAAAAUGUGACCAGUUGGAAUCUGAGCAUAUGAUUAAGAUCACUUGGGUUUGCGACGGAAAUAUAUCACAGCUUAAGGUUAUGAUCACUAGGGAUAUGACAAUUAAAUUCAGU
rnacentral:lncRNA from 1 species